CGGGUUCUCCAAGCAGCAGUACGCUGACCAGCUCAGUGUGCAGGAGAUGGCCACCUAGUACUUGCAGUGCAACUUCAACCUGCCCUACCAGGAUGCUCGCAAGUGCCUGGGGUGCUUUGGUCUUGAGAGCCAUGCCCACAUCCUCCAGAUCUGCAAAUUGUCAGGGGGCAGAAAGCCUGUGUGGUGCUUGCCGAGCUGGCCUUCAGGGAACCUGGUGUCGUCAUCCUGUGGUCUUCAUCAUCAACCACAACACACGAGUGAUCACGGAGACCAGCUGCCAGCUGCGGGGGUGGCGGAGCGGUCCAUCAACCAGAUCAACAGCGACUUCGACUACAAGUGGGAGGUGCUGGAGGCCUUGGCCCCUUUCUCCUGACCGGUUAUUGUGGUGCUGGACCUCCUCAAGACCAUUCACCAAGUCCAAGCCAACCUAAAGGCCGCUAGGACUGCCUAUAAAAAGAAACAGGAAGAUCGGCGGCAUCACGAAGUUCCUUUGUUGGC